AGUUAAAUAGUAAGUAAGUUAGUUCAUUUAGCCAUCAGUUAGUAAGUUAGUUGCCCCCUAGAGUAUCAAAGUUAACUGCUAGGAGGCUACGACUCUGCAAAAGCCAAGUGUGUAAGGCAGAAAUAGGGGGCAAUAGGGGCCAAGUCAGGGGACAUUAGAUGUGUAAGAUCAUGAUGAUCAGCUAGGGAAAACUCUGUAUAUAGCUGACUUCUCAAAACAACCAAAAGAGAGCAGUGGUUCAAAGUUAUCAGUUAAGAGAAGGAGAGGUCAGGAAAUUGAAAAGAAAAAGAAAGAAAACUUGGCUAAUAUUUUCCAUCCCACACCUUCCUUGCUCAGCCUCACCCGCCUCCUUUAGCAGACUCCAGUCCAUUCGAGGAUAAGCAAGUGGAAGGUAAUUGUUUUCUUUUCGUUUUCUCGUUUGGAUUAGCUAUAAAUGUAAAUGUUUAGCAAAAUGAGUUGGAUUAGUUUUGGAAUAAUAACAGUGAGUAUAUGGGCCGACUUUGGUUAUGAUUAAUUAUCUGAAUUAUUCCAUGAUCAAAGGAUGGGGAUUUCAAAAGAAUUGAAUUCGAACAAAAAUGGAUAAACUAGUUAUUUUCUAAUUGUUUGAUUUUGUUCAACUUUGAUUAUGUGCAUGACUGCUAAUGGCUAAGUUAGAGUACGGAGAUAGGUUGGUUGUGUGGGGGAAUAAGGAGGCUAAAAAGGGGAUUGUAAAACAAAUCAAUAGCUAUAAAAAUGGCCAGCACAUAUAAGAUGUUUGAUAUAAGUAAGUCCUCUAUGAACUUUUAUAGUUAAAAAUCAAGAAUUUGAUGAAGCCGAAGCUAAGAUUACAUGUAUAAACCUUUUAUAUGAUUAGUUAAGGGUUUUGAGCGGAUUAAAUUGAAGAGGAAGUAAUUUUAAGCCAAAACGAAAAAUUUGAAAAUUUGUAUGUCAGGCUGAUUUGGGCCAACUGUUUUGGCUAGUUAGACUUGCUGGAAAGAUAUAAUUUUCUGGGGUCUUGUGGUUUGAAAUCCCAGCUAUCCAUAGCCACUGGAACGGACUCGUUCUGAGUUCGGACGGUCGAGUUAUGACAUGCCAAAGUGGGUGCGUUGAAUCUGUCCAAAAUUUGGAAGUCAGAUUCGAACCUGUCCCUUCCACGAAUUUUCUGGAAUUUUGUGUUAGGAAUUUGAAAAUGGUCAAAGAAUAAAAGUUGUAGCCCCAGAAGUUAGCUUCGCGUGGGCUCAAGAAACGCUCAAAAAUGUUUUGAAACGAAGAAGUUAUGACUAUUUUAGCGAGAGAGGGUAAAGCUGAAACGAAGGUGAAAACUGUUAUGAACGUAAACUUUUGGCGCUCUGUUUGGGCUGCCUAACAAAUUCGAAAUGGGAGUUUGAUAUUUUUUAAAAAUAGUUUAAUAUGCUAUAUAUAACAUAUUUAAAAUUGAUUUUAAUCUGACAUAUGAGCUAGAAGUUAAAAAGUUGUAAAAUGGCAAAAAUGGGGAGUUAAAUAUAUGAGGCUAGAGUUGCUAAGGUUGCUGCAGGCAACAGCAGCCAAUGCUUAGCACUGGACUGUGCUGUGCUGCAGAGCCGGCCUAACAGUCUUGUACCAUUAAAAUUGUCAUGGACUGCAAUUUGUAAGAUUAAGUAACAUUAUAUAUAUAAAGAAAUUUGCAAGUUGACAAGCCAGUACUUGAAAAAGAGGAGAGAUGCUGCCAUUGUCAGCGGCAAUCUCCAUUUCUCCAUAACCGAGGAUGUGUUGGCUUGCUUUGGCUAAGGUGUUGGAUUGUGCAGUGUAUGCAUUAGCUGCAGUUUAUAAGUUAUUCUAAUAGACGAUUCUAUAUUUUUUUAACUAGAGUAUUUGGCAUUUAGAUUACUGAGUUAGGAUAUGGGAUCACUUGAACAAGGAGGAAGAGGCUGCAGCAGUGGACAACAAUAAUAUUUGUAGCAGCAGGUGGCAGUCACCCAAGGCCAACGGUACUGACUAUUUGGGCAUGCUAGUAGAUAUCAUGGUUCAGUUUGCUAGUUUACCAUAAAGCUUAAAUUCUAACUCCUAAAUAAGCGAACAUAUGGAUUAGAAGCUUAACUAUAGGAAAUGAGUUGAAAUUUGUUUAAGCAAGCAAGCUAAGUUGGGGGGAAUAAGAAGCUAGAAGAUUGUGGACUGUUGGAGAUUUGGUAGCCAAAACUGCGCCUAUAAGGGACUGUUAUGGCUAACUUGUGUAACUGGUGUUGUUAGACAGUGAGGAAUACAUACAUUGCCUAUAAAUAACAUGUAAAAAUGGUUCCCUAAGUUAGUUAAGGUCUACAUGGUGUGUUGUGCAAAUUCUUGCUUAAAAAUCAAUGAAAAUAAGCUUUUAAAGAACAAUGAACACUAAAAUAGUGAACCACCAUACCUGGACCCCAUACACAAGUUUCAAUAGUCAUAAUAGGAUAUAAGAAAGCUACACAAACUAAAGGAAUCAAUCCUAAGCCAUUUUUAGCAUGAGACUUGUUAAAAAUCACAUUUUAAAGCCAAAAAUGGACUGUUUUGGACAAUUCAUAGUACCUGACCUUAAAAGACUAUUAUGAGUAGAUACAAAGUAGCUCAUACGUGCUAGUAAUGAUUUCCAAACAUGGCCAUGACCAAAACUAGCAAGAAAACCAAUUUAAAAUAUCUUUUUCAAGCCUAAAGUGAGCUUUAAUAAGUCAAAAUGAGCUAGAUGAUUAAAUAAAGUGUGGUGAUGCUAAAAGUAACCUUAAGUAACUUAAAUAUAUAUGUCUAGACUAUCCUAGUGGCCAGAACUGGAAAAAUUUGGAAAAAAUUCAAAAAUAGUUUUGUAGAAAAAGUAAGAAAAUGGCUAAGUUUGAGCCCUAUUUUGAGAAUCUUAAUGGGCAUGAAUAAGAAACCUAAACCUUGAUUAAAAUACCUUGUAGUAUGUUCUAGAAGUAGGUCCAAUUGGUUUAGCUCUUGCCUUAACCAAGGAGUCUAAACAAAUCACCAAACUAGCAUGGAAAAUCAUCCUAACUGUAGUUUUGAAAAUUUUUCUAAGUGUAAAAUUUUAGAUUUUUCUAUUUAGCCUAGAACUCAAUUUGAACACCUUAGACAAGUGAGUUAGAGUUAUGCUAGGCUAUUCCAAGUGUUGGAAUGCUAAUGUAUACAAGAACUUGAGAAGUUAGUGUGUAAAAGCGUGAAAAAGCUAGGUUUAAAGGGUCAAAACCCAAUCUAUGCUUGGUAAACCUAAAGGAAUGCUAGAAAUAGUCUUAACUAGAUAUAAUUCAAGUGUUGGAAUGAACUAAAUUGGCUAGAAAUGAAAUUGGCAAGAAUUGACUAAAACUAGUGAACUUAAGAACACAUGAACCCUUUAUGUUCUAAAUCUUGAAUAAGAUGUAAAUGAUAACCUUAAAGUCAUACCUAUUGCAUAUUAUAAGCACGUCAAACCCCAUCAAAGUGAAAAAUGACUAAUGAGAAAACAUGGAUGAGGUAUUUGAAAAAUAUAUACAAUAUCUCAGAUAUAGAAAUCUAAACUACCACCAUGAUAACUGAAAUUACGUGUUUUGUUAUCAAUCCCACAUUCAAUGUAGGUUGUGCAAGGAACGCAGAAGUUGGUGUAAUGGUAAAACCCCGGUACAGGCAAGUUUCUCAGUUUAUUUAUGUGGACUUAUAAUUGCUAUAGAUAACUGUUAACAUGAUUUAUGUUUAUAAGUAUGUAUUACCUAUGAACUGCAUUAUUUGCUUUGUGAAUGAUGAAUGUCAAAUUAUGACUAAUUCUUGAAUUGAGGCGGGGAACUCAAUAUAUAUGUGCAAUGAAUGACAUGUACAGGACAUGUGUAGUAUAUGCUACGGUACGUAUGUUACUACCAGCAGGACAUAAAUGUGAUAAUGCAUCUGUAAUAUGCUUGAACCCCAAGAAUAUAAAUGCAUGAACUGAACGUGAACAUAUGUGCUAUGUGAUGCAUGAUAGACUGUUAGACUUGCUGGGCUGUCGUGCUCAAUCUUGCUUAAUUUGCAGGUUAAAGCUAUGAUGUGAUCUAUCGUGAUUAGGUGCGCAUGAAGAGAAGGCUAGUGAUUUAGUUGAGAUUGUGUUGAAUCAUUUGAUGAUAUUUUCAUGUGUAAAGAACAGAUGUGUAAAUUGUUGAAUUAUUCGAUAGAUGAAGAUUAUUUGUUCUAAAAAGGGAAUAUGCUUGAAAGAAUGAAUUGUAUAUUUAUACUCAUGUCUACUCAGACUAAAUAAAUCAUAUAAUAUGAUUCUAGUAUAAAGAAGAAUUGUAAAGGUUGCGAUUCAGGGAAUGAAUGAAUGGA
rnacentral:lncRNA from 1 species